GUGUACGUACAAGCAGUGGGAGCACCCUUUGGGUGUGACUGCGUACCUUUUGUAUAAUGGGUCAGCGACUUAUAUUCUGUAGCAAGGUUAACCGAAUAGGGGAGCCGGAGGGAAACCGAGUCUUAACUGGGCGUUAAGUUGCAGGGUAUAGACCCGAAACCCGGUGAUCUAGCCAUGGGCAGGUUGAAGGUUGGGUAACACUAACUGGAGGACCGAACCGACUAAUGUUGAAAAAUUAGCGGAUGACCUGUGGC
rnacentral:rRNA from 2 species